rnacentral:rRNA from 1 species
CAGCCGCCACGGGAAUACAGAGGGUGCGAGCGUUAAUCGGAUUUACUGGGCGUAAAGCGUGCGUAGGCGGCUUUUUAAGUCGGAUGUGAAAUCCCUGAGCUUAACUUAGGAAUUGCAUUCGAUACUGGUUAGCUAGAGUGUGGGAGAGGAUGGUAGAAUUCCAGGUGUAGCGGUGAAAUGCGUAGAGAUCUGGAGGAAUACCGAUGGCGAAGGCAGCCAUCUGGCCUAACACUGACGCUGAGGUACGAAAGCAUGGGGAGCAAACAGGAUUAGAUACCCGUGUAGUCCCUGUCUCUUAUAC